AGUAAAGCUGUCAAUUAAUUACGUACCUAUAAGCUACUUACGUAAAACUUAGAAGUGUAAUCGUGGCCUAAAGUUGAACCAUACUUUGACUUGACAGUUGACACAUAAAGCUAAAACGGUGAGUGAUUUUUUGUAAUUUAUCCUUUAUAAAGCUUCAUUUACGCCAGAGCAACUUGGUUCGAGUUAUGACACUGGUACUGAUUCUGAUGGCAACUAAAUUUUACCGAAUUUGCGUCUUUUUAUUACCAAUAGAAUAAGAAAUGGUCAGACAACUUAGCAAUAUACCUACUUAUUCAGAAUUAUAAUCAUUUUAGUUUGGUGUAAAGAUUGUGUAGGUACAAGAGAAAGUCGCAUAGCAGCAUGCUUGUCGAAUGGUUGGCACAUACAAUAAUUUAAAAUUAAAUUUUAAAAUAAAUUUAAUUCGCACGGUGACAUUUUGCAGUGCCGGAUUACCCUUAAAAUAGUUAUUUUGUGUAGCUAAAGCAAGUGGCCAUGAGUGAUUUGAUUGUAGUGCCUUGAAUUUAAAAUUCCGAAAUUUUUGUAUUUUAUAGUCUAAACAUACUAUUAAUUGAAUUAAUAUCGCGCGUUUUAGUUAUUUAUUUACUUUAAAAAAUGCUACCUACGCUUAGACUUAGGCCUAUUGUAUAAUUGCUCAAAAAUCGCCACAUAAUUUUAGUUAAUUUUAAAGCUCUAGUUUUCUAGCAGUCACAAAGCGGCCACUAUAAUAGCGUUGAAUGACGUCACUAUUAUAGCGUUGAAUGACGUCACUGAAAUAUACACUAUUGAAACGAGGUCGUAUGGUCACAAAUGAUUACUUUAGUUCGGCUAAAGAGAAAUAAAUUAGUAUCGUAGAGCUCCGCUUUGUGAUAGCACCGCUUAAUCUAUAAAACCAGAGUUACGAAAAUGGUGAGGCAUGUUCUGUGAUAAAUUUUUGUUUGGUGGGGUCUCUGUAUACCUAACUAUAUAUACCUAAGUAUUUUCAAUAAUAUUGGAGUUUAUGGUUAUAAUAAUGUAAUUAUUAGAUACAUUGUGUUUUAUGGAAAAUAAUAUUAGGUACUAGUACCUAUCUUGUUAACGAAUGCAAUUCACAGAUAGUUUCCACUUGGGUCCAGUUAAACUUAGUUUGCUUUGGCCUUCAAUAAAAGCCAAAUAGAUUACGCAAAUCAGGGUCUAUUAUAAUAAUAUGUCUGUCUCCAUAAAUUACACAGACUCAUCAAGCAGUAAAACAUAGAGAUAAGAAGAGAGCUUUAUUAUAUCGUGUUCUCGAUGGAAUUUUAAUUUUAUAAGCGUACCACGCAUGGACCAUGCGUGGUCCACGCGUCAUACUUUCUUUCAAUUAAUGUUCAAAAUUCCACAGUAAGAACACAAUAUAAAGCUCACAUACCCAUGCUUUAGUCGAGUCUGUGUUAUGUGUAUAAAGUAACCAUAACUAACUUUAACCAUCUUUCAUGCAACUAGAUUUAAGUGUCGAGACAGUUGAUCUGCAAGCUGACUGUAAAAUUGCAGUUUGGAUGCGUUUAUAUGUAGGUAAUUGGCAGAACUGCUUUGCAACUGCCUUUUCGCGUGCAGUUUUCCAGUGUCUCAUCUGUACUCAAAUUGAACGCAGACUGUUGUUGGUCUACUGCAUUAAAA